UAUAGAUUUAUGCGUUAGGCUCGGACAUUGAGGGUUUUUUAUGCGUGUGUGUACGCCGCUAUCUUCGAGUAGCAUGAAAUGCUUGAAUAUGUCUUAAUGGAUACUUCGAGUGAUCCGAGAAGAUGAAUGUGUGGUCGACGGAACGCUUCCAACUACUCAAGUGGGCGCCGUAAGAUUCGACGAAUAGUGCGUGAUUUCAUUGUUAAAGAUAAAAGACCCCCCAAUGAAAUAUAUGCGCCUGGUCAUCAAGUCAAAGGGGAAGCAGACUAUCCUCAUGGAGUGUCAAAAUAACUCUGGGAACUAGAGCGGCGUCGAGGCCAUUUCUAGCUUCUAUUGGCCAACAAUGAUUCAGGACAUCAAUGAAUGGGCAUGGGCACAGAUUUGCCUUCUGGACAGAGAAAGCGUCCCCUCUUCUUCAGGGAUCUCUACAGCCUGUCUUCAGGGUUCCAAAGGCAACCCCCUCUAUAUCUUACUAAACUUCAAUCAGACAGUUGCCAGAAGUAUUGACUGCCAACAUACAUGAAAAAGUUGUCCUUCGGGAAGGUGACCGUGCUAUAUGCACAUUGGCGCUUGUGUGGUCCAGAAUCAGAGACCUUGGUUCUCCAGACUCCUUCAGAAGACGGCCACAUUUUAAAUGGCUUAACAGUGUCUGGACAUGGAGCAGGUUCUGUGCAGAAUUCAGGAGAGAGUAUUACAACAUGUACACCAUUGAGAUCUGCCAUGGGUAUGGGGAGCAGUUCAAACAAUCCCCACGAGGAUUUGUUGGAGAGGAGAAAAGGGGUAAAGUAACGGCGUUUUACUGCGAGGAGGAAACACCUACAGGAUACUGCAGUUGUUCCUGCUGUCCAAUGCAUUAAACUGUAAUGUUUUUGUUUGAGUUUGUUCUACACAUGCACAUUAAAACUGUUUCAGCUUAA